UACGUAGGGUGCAAGCGUUUGUCCGGAAUUAUUGGGCGUAAAGAGCUCGUAGGUGGCUUGUCACGUCGGGUGUGAAAUCCCAGGGCUUAACUCUGGGUCUGCAUUCGAUACGGGCUGGCUAGGGUCCUUCAGGGGAGACUGGAAUUCCUGGUGUAGCGGUGAAAUGCGCAGAUAUCAGGAGGAACACCGAUGGCGAAGGCAGAUCUCUGGGCCGUAACUGACGCUGAGGAGCGAAAGCAUGGGGAGCGAACAGG
rnacentral:rRNA from 1 species